rnacentral:rRNA from 1 species
UACGGAGGAUGCAAGCGUUAUCCGGAAUUAUUGGGCGUAAAGCGUCCGCAGGUGGCUCUUCAAGUCUGCCGUUAAAGGCCAGGGCUCAACUCUGGUUAGGCGGUGGAAACUGUAGAGCUAGAGUGCAGGAGGGGUAGAGGGAAUUCCCGGUGUAGCGGUGAAAUGCGUAGAUAUCGGGAAGAACAUCGGUGGCGAAGGCGCUCUACUGGACUGCAACUGACACUCAGGGACGAAAGCUAGGGGAGCGAAUGGG